rnacentral:rRNA from 1 species
CGAGCGAGCUUGCCUAGAUGAUUUUAGUGCUUGCACUAUAUGAAACUAGAUACAAGCGAGCGGCGGACGGGUGAGUAACACGUGGGUAACCUGCCCAAGAGACUGGGAUAACACCUGGAAACAGAUGCUAAUACCGGAUAACAACACUAGACGCAUGUCUAGAGUUUGAAAGAUGGUUCUGCUAUCACUCUUGGAUGGACCAGCGGUGCAUUAGCUAGUUGGUAAGGUAACGGCUUACCAAGGCAAUGAUGCAUAGCCGAGUUGAGAGACUGAUCGGCCACAUUGGGACUGAGACACGGCCCAAACUCCUACGGGAGGCAGCAGUAGGGAAUCUUCCACAAUGGACGAAAGUCUGAUGGAGCAACGCCGCGUGAGUGAAGAAGGGUUUCGGCUCGUAAAGCUCUGUUGGUAGUGAAGAAAGAUAGAGGUAGUAACUGGCCUUUAUUCGACGGUAAUUACUUAGAAAGUCACGGCUAACUACGUGCCAGCAGCCGCGGUAAUACGUAGGUGGCAAGCGUUGUCCGGAUUUAUUGGGCGUAAAGCGAGUGCAGGCGGUUCAAUAAGUCUGAUGUGAAAGCCUUCGGCUCAACCGGAGAAUUGCAUCAGAAACUGAUGAACUUGAGUGCAGAAGAGGAGAGUGGAACUCCAUGUGUAGCGGUGGAAUGCGUAGAUAUAUGGAAGAACACCAGUGGCGAAGGCGGCUCUCUGGUCUGCAACUGACGCUGAGGCUCGAAAGCAUGGGUAGCGAACA